rnacentral:rRNA from 1 species
GGAAUCUUGCGCAAUGGGCGAAAGCCUGACGCAGCGACGCCGCGUGAGUGAUGAAGGCCUUCGGGUUGUAAAGCUCUGUGGGGAGAGAAGAAUAAGUGUAGAUUAAUACUCUGCAUGAUGACGGUAUCUCCUUAGCAAGCACCGGCUACCUCUGUGCCAGCAGCCGCGGUAAUACAGAGGGUGCAAACGUUGUUCGGAUUUACUGGGCGUAAAGCGCGUGUAGGCGGCUUGGCAAGUCGGAUGUGAAAUCCCGGGGCUCAACCCCGGAAGUGCAUUCGAAACUGCCUCGCUAGAGUUCUGGAGAGGAAGGUGGAAUGCUUGGUGUAGAGGUGAAAUUCGUAGAUAUCAAGCGGAACACCGGUGGCGAAGGCGACCUUCUGGACAGUGACUGACGCUGAGACGCGAAAGCGUGGGGAGCAAAC